CCCGGACUUGGAAUCCUUGUUAAACCGAAAGGAAAGAGUGGCAAAGUACUAUGAAGACAGCACUGAUCUCAGCAAGAGGCGCAACAUGCAGAGAAAUUCACAAUUCAGGAGGACCUGAUCCCUAGGACCAUGCCUCAGGACUACCUGGCCUGAUGACUCCUUGCUGUCCCAAGUCCACCUGGUCGUGCUGCUGCUCCAGUUUCAACUGUUCUGCCUGCAGCUAUGGAAUCCUGACCUGUUCACCAGACAUGUUACCUUGUCCCAGACCUGCUGUUUUCAACUCUAGAGACAGCAGGAGCGGUAGAGAUACUCUGAAUGAUCAGCUAUGAAAAGCUGACAUUUACUCCUAAGGUGCUGACCUGUUGCAACCUCUACAAC
ensembl:lncRNA